rnacentral:rRNA from 1 species
UACAGAGGUCCCAAGCGUUGUUCGGAUUCACUGGGCGUAAAGGGUGCGUAGGCGGGUCUUUUAAGUCAGGGGUGAAAUCCUGGAGCUCAACUCCAGAACUGCCUUUGAUACUGAGGAUCUUGAGUUCGGGAGAGGUGAGUGGAACUGCGAGUGUAGAGGUGAAAUUCGUAGAUAUUCGCAAGAACACCAGUGGCGAAGGCGGCUCACUGGCCCGAUACUGACGCUAAGGCACGAAAGCGUGGGGAGCGAACAGG